UACGUAGGGUGCGAGCGUUGUCCGGAAUUACUGGGCGUAAAGAGCUCGUAGGUGGUUUGUCGCGUUGUUCGUGAAAACUCACGGCUUAACUGUGAGCGUGCGGGCGAUACGGGCAGACUGGAGUACUGCAGGGGAGACUGGAAUUCCUGGUGUAGCGGUGGAAUGCGCAGAUAUCAGGAGGAACACCGGUGGCGAAGGCGGGUCUCUGGGCAGUAACUGACGCUGAGGAGCGAAAGCGUGGGGAGCGAACCGG
rnacentral:rRNA from 1 species